rnacentral:rRNA from 1 species
AUGUACAACGCAUAUGCCGUCAAGGUUGGGUUCAGUGUCAGAAAAAGUCACACAAAGCGACGAGGUGAUAAAAGUAUAUCUCAAAAAUAUAUAGUUUGCAGUAACGAAGGCCAUCGAGAAAUCCAAUCAUCUAAGGACACUACAAGGACAGGUUGUGAGGCUCGUAUUCAGUUUAGUGUCAACAAGGAUGGUAUUUGGACAGUGCAAAAGCUUAUAACAGAGCACAAUCACUAUCUUGCUAGUCCCAAUAAGGUGCACAAGCUGAGGUCCCAAAGACGUGUUAUAGAAGCGGAUAGGCAUCUAAUUGGCCAGAUACGGGAAGCCGGGAUGAAGCCAUCCCAGGUAUAUGACUUUAUGGUAGCAUUUUACGGAGGACCCGACAAAGUACCAUUCUCAAAGAUGGACUGCAAUAAUGAGAUUGGUCCCGAGCGCAAGAAGUAUUUAGAAUCAAAUUAUGCACAGACACUGUUGGAAUACUUGAAAAAUAAGCAAAGAGAGGAUCCUACAUUUUAUGCCAUUCAGAUAGAUCAAGUUGAUGGCCAGAUAGCUAAUUUCUUUUGGGCAGAUGGUCAGUCUAUCAUGGAUUACGCAUGUUUUGGGGAUGCUGUAUCAUUUGAUACCACUUUUCAGACUAACAAGUUUGAAAUGCCUUUUGCUCCAUUCGUUGGUACCAACCAUCACAAGUAGACAGUAAUUUUUGGGGCCGCGCUGAUAUUUAAUGAGAGUAUCGAUUCAUUUGUUUGGCUCUUUGAAACAUUUUUAACAGCGAUGUCAGGCAAGCAUCCGAGCACUAUUUUCACUGAUCAGGACAAGGCCAUGGACGGAGCAAUUGCAUAUGUGUUCCCAAAUACAAGUCAUCGGCUUUGUUUGUGGCACAUUUAUCUUAAUGUUGCAAAACAUCUUGGGCAUGUAAUUCAUGAGCAUCCUGAGAAGUUUUUACCUAAUUUUAAGAUAUGUGUCUAUGAAGAUAGGUCAGAAUUUUACUUCAAUAAAAAAUGGUUUGAAUUGUUGGAUCAAUACAACCUUGAGGACAAUGAAUGGAUGAAAAAUCCAGCGAGGUUCCGCUAG